rnacentral:lncRNA from 1 species
GCAUAUGUAAGUUCCCAAGCAAGGGGUCAAAUUGGAGCUGCAACUGCCAGCCUGCACCAGAGCCACAGCAACGCCAGAUCUGAGCCCCAUCUGCAACCUGUGCCGCAGCUCGCAGCAACACAGGAUCCUUAACACACUGAGCAAGGCCAAGCAUUGAACCCAAAUCCUCGUAGUUACCAAUCGGGUUCGUUAUUGCUGAGCUACAAUGAUAACUCCUCCUUACCUAUUAUUUUAUUGGGUCCUGACACUGUGCCUAUCUACUUCAUCCAGGCACUAACUGGGAAUCUUUUACCAAAAUUUAGACCAUGUCACUGCUUUCAUUUGUACCCAGGAGGGCUCUUGCUACCAUGUUGCAUCAACUGUAUAACAUGUCCCCUUAAAUAUCAAUGCCUAGAUCACAUCACCAUAUUUGAUUGGCCCUAAAUAUUAAUGCUUCCUAGAGUGCACCACCAUGUUUCAUUGGAAUUUAUUUAUUGUACUGUUGCUUUCCUUUAUUACACACCAACCCACCUCUGAUAUCCUAGAUUGCUUUACAAGCAUAGGUUAGUAACACUUCCCUUUUACUCUUCCUUCAUCACCUCCUAAUCUUCCUCCUCCGAGAAGAAGAACAGAGGGUGAUAGGAAGCAGUGUGCACAGGACUGAAAUAAGCCAGAAUUUCAACUAUCAAAUUGAAAGACAGUGAAAGUGCCAUUGGCUUUUAAUGGAGAGGAGAGAGGCUAUGUUCUUGUCUCAUAACACAGACCCCCAUAUGGAGAUCCCAAAGCAUUAAAUGAUAUAAGAGUAUGGAUUAAACAUGGUAAAUUUAUAGAGGCAAGGAAUCCUGGUUAAAAAUUGUUUUUCUAGGAAAAAAGAAUAUAAGCGAUCCUAAUUUAUGGAACCAGAAUAUAUUUAUUUACGGGUAUGUUGGUAGACAACCGAGCCCACACCCAUUUUAUAAUAAUAGAUCAGUCAUGGGCAGGAUAAUUACCUUCAAAAGUAGUCUAAAAGUACUAAUGCUAAGGAAAGCAUGAGUAAUUCUCCAAGUCAUUAUUGUUUAAGAGUGGUGUAUAAUUUUCUAUCAGGUACAGUUAAAGGAAGAAUUACUAAUUUAAUGCCUGAUACAUUACAUUUCAGAAAAUAAACAUUGGAAGGAAAGUAGCAAAAUAGAAGUUUGGUCUUAAGUGUAAAACUGGGUUCAAGUGCUGGUUCUUAGAAAUACCAUGAACCAGGCUUUUGUUCUCAAAGAACUUCAGUUUUUAUAUCUGUAAAAUGGACUGUUAAAGCCUGUCCUAUCGAUCUCAGAGAUUAUUUUGAAGAACACGAUAAACCUUAAACUUCCAUUCAGAAGGUAGUUAUUUUGUCUGUUAUUAUAGUCCUUUGGACAGGCACAGUGUCUCAUAAUCAGGUUAACAUAAUGUUUUUGACAUGUAGAUGGUCAUUAAGUGUUUUAAAUUCAUUUCGAACACAGGAGAUUUGAAGAUCAGCUUUUGAGGCUAGAGUUUUGGGCAGAGGCCAGGAUAAUUAAGCUGCCAGCUACAAAGUACUACAGCAAGUGCCAGAAACACUACUUAUUUUUUUGUAUGGGAAAAUAUUUUUGCCAAAUGAAAUCUUUGGGGUUUUUAUAGUUCUUUCCCAUAUGUCUCUAUGAAAAUGUUAUUUUUCAUAUCUCACUUCUGAAUGGGGCUGUCAGGAUAACAAGUAUCAACUGCUUUCCAGGUCUGGAAAAUUGAUCCAGUUAAACAAUUUAAGAAUGAGGAAUAUCUUGAGGGAAUCCUAUGAGUUAUAUCUUGAGGAUAUGAACAGCGCGGAUUAAUAUAAGUGCAGGUGUUCAGCCUCCAGUCUAUAGUAGGCACUCCAGGUCUGCUUCUGCAUAGACAGGUCCCAGAUGAACAUUUUUGAAAUGGCAUCAGCACCUUCUAGGAAAAAUAAUUGGGAAAAUAUUUAACAACCAGUCAUGUUAAAACUGAUUUGGAAAUGCCAUUUUCACGCUUAGUCAUCCCUACCCCAGGGUCAAAGCAGGAAUAAAAAAAGAGCGGGAGGUUUGUUAACUAUAAUAUCGUGAAAUUCCAAACAAUUAGAAUUGAAUAUGGUCUGGGGAGGAAUUAGAGUUCUGAUCUGAUAGGUACGACUCCCUGUUUUUGCUAAGACUGACAGAAACAUUUUCCUGUUCUUACAUUGUCAUCCUGUGGGCUAGCAGAGACUCUGAGAGAUUGAAAUGUUGGAAUAGGCCUGAGUUUCUGAGAAAUAUUAUGAAACUUUUAAUAAAUGAAAAUUCCUGGAAGUUAUAUAAUUGGACUUUGUAAUUUGAUAGGAAAUAUCCUCAAGGGAUUCAGGCUUGCAAAAUGAUAAUGUUUUAAAGGAAAAUUGAUGGCACUUAACUGCAAACAGUUAUAACUGUUUUGAGUUCAUAUCUCCCAUGUUUGAGACACUAUACUACAUCACUUUCUUCUGACUAAGGAGUUUGGGGUAUUAUGCAGAUAGAAAACUAUUUCCCUCAUGAUAUUUGUCACUCAACUUCUGUGUAUCCAUGCCAGCCAAGAAGGUUUUGCUAGGUUUAAAUUUCUGUAGUUUGCAUUAUGAAAACCACAGGUUUAUUGAAUUAAAAUGUGUAUACUACCUGCCUGUCCACCUUGAAAUAGUCCUGAGCUAUGGGAUGCCAUUAAAAAUUUUAAGCAGAGAUGUGACAUUGUCAGCAUUGCUGUGGUGAGGAUUGGAAGAGAACAAAGCUGGAAGUAGAAGGUAUGUUAGGAUAUAGCAGUGGUGCAAAUUACAGAUCAUGAUAGUUUAAGGCAGAUAUGUGAAGAGACAGAUGUAUUAAUAGGUAUUUAGGAAUUAGAAUGGGUAGGAGGUUACAACUAGAAUGGUCAGGUGAGGAAGAAGAAUAAAUCAAUAAUAAUACCUAGGUUUCUGAUUUUGGAAACUUGAUGAAUGAAGGUACCAGUAACUGAAAGGAUGGAAAUGUGCUUAUUUUGGAAAAGGAAAAACGAUGAUGUAUACAGAUUUGUGCAUUUUGUGCUGGUUAGUGGAACUUGUACAUUUCAGUGUAAGUGGGAAGGGAGAUUUAAAGUUAUGGUAGGAGUUCCCGUCGUGGCGCAGUGGUUAACGAAUCCGACUAGGAACCAUGAGGUUGCGGGUUCGGUCCCUGCCCUUGCUCAGUGGGUUAACGAUCCGGCGUUGCCGUGAGCUGUGGUGUAGGUUGCAGACACGGCUCGGAUCCCGCGCGUUGCUGUGGCUCUGGCGUAGGCCGGUGGCUACAGCUCCGAUUCAACCCCUAGCCUGGGAACCUCCAUAUGCCGAGGGAGCGGCCAAAUAAGUAAAGUGAUCUUCAUCUCCUGAUAUCAGGCUUUCUGUAAGACUCUCCUUGAGUAAUUUGCUUCUGACCAAUAGAAUAUAGGAACAUUGAGGAGAUAUCUCUCCCAUGAUUAGAUUAAAAGAUUGUGAAUUCCCUCUUGCUAUCACAGCUUGCACACUUGAUGAUCAAGCCAUCAUAUUGGAGAGGCCGGUAUAGUAAGUAGGGCACUGAGGGUGUCCUCUCAGCCAGCAAGGAAUUGAGGCCUUAAUCCAAGAACCUGCAAGGAACUGAAUACUGCCUACAAUCUUUAAGUGAGACUUCCCCAGUCACAUAAGGCUUCAACCCACAGGCUGACACCUAAUUGCAGCCUUGUGAGAAGCCGUGAAGCACAGAAUUCAGUGAAACUGCACCUGUAUUCCACCACAACAAUGAUAAGAUAUAAAUGCAUGUUGGUUUAAAGUGUCAAGUCUUUGUACAGUGUGAUAUGCCACAAUAAGUAGCUAAUACAUGAGCUCUGGAAAUGGAGGCUAGAUUUGGGAUCCACCAGCAUAUAAAAAAUAUAUGUUGACUGUGACAAAGCUCAACUUGAGAUAUGUGUAGUGAUGAGAAACAGGGAUUGUACAGAAGCUAGAGAAAUUAGAAAAUCAAGGAGUGGGUGGAGGACCAGAAGGCUGAAAAGGGCACUACAAAGAAACAGAGUUCUGAACUCUGAGCAUUGCAAGGUUAAGGGAGGCAUGAUCAAAUAUCAAAUGCUGAGCUAAAGAAAAACAGCUUUUGGUAACACAGUGUUUCUGCUUAACCUUGAUGUGGACAGUUUCAAGAAAGUAAGGCAGAUUUCAUUAGAUUAAGGAGAAAACACAAAGAAGGCAAAAAAAGCUGCCUACAAGAAGCUUAUCUCUUGAAAGAAGGAAAGAAUAAUGUAAUAUUUGCUCUAGGAUUAAAAGUUGAUGGCUUUUUUAUGAGGGGAAGAAGAAUUGAGCAUAUUUAUGUGAGAGCUUCUUGGUGAUGAAAAUUUUGAUUAGAUUUUCUGUUAUUUGUAACAUAGCUGUUGUAACAAACCAAUAAAGGAGAUAAAUUUAGCUAUUCAUAACCCUCCUGACCUUUUGAAGGUGCUCACAUGUCCAUUCGCAUUUUAUGUAACAAAACAUAGUAUUAUUUUUCUACAUAUACCAUAAACAUUUCUUAAUAUUGUUAUAUUGGUGGCAUAGCUAUUUUUUAUAUUGUAUAAUAUACUGUCAACUUGUGUACUAUAAAUGAUAUAUCUCCUAUUUCUUGGGGCUCUAGGUUGUUUCCAACUUUUUGUAACUAUAAAUAAUGCUAUGAUUAAUUGUGCAAAAUUGUUUCAAAACAAAAACAGAUUGGCUCCCCCUAAGAGAGCCUCUCUGGAUGCUUGCCAAAGCCUGAACUCUUCAUGUUAAAGGGCUCUGAACUGAAUUCAAUAAAAAUGUAUGCGAAAACUGCAGGAGCUCUUCCUUUUUGAAUUUUUUUUUAUUAUCCUAAACUUCAAAAGCCCAACAGUUGGGCAGUUCAAAUGUAUAGAAAGAGAUCUUUGAGUGCCUAAAUCGAAUUUAAACUUUCUGGGAACUCAGAUGUGUUCUGUGAA